ensembl:lncRNA
CCUGUGGUUCAUAAGUAGAUGUAAAUUGUGGAGGAAAUUGUGCACAUUGUAAGAUGGUAUUGCAUACAGUGUUCUUAUAUAUUUAUUUAGAAAGCAAUGCCGAUUCAUCCAGUAGAAUGUAAUUUGAGUUCUCAUAAAAUGCACACAUAGGAACCCACACACAAACAUCUGUUCCCCAUCUUGUUUAUUCAUCUGCUCAAGUCAAACAUAACCAUCAUGAUUCUGCAUAUCUUCAGCAAUUACACUUCAGAUUUUGGAAGGCUUCUAAAAAAACGUCGGGACCAUAUUGUGGUACUCAGGCUUGAGAUUCAAGCCGGGGACCGAAGCAUGUACAAAUACCAGAAGCCCCACGAAAACAAACCAAAAGUAUAAAUUGGCACUCAGUAAAAAAAAAAAAGGCAGCCUGCCGAUUCCCAAGUCAAGUCCUCCAAGUCGAGAGUGUCGACUUGAGGGAAUACUCCGGGGACACAAUACUUAAAGCAUGGACGACCUAGAGGAAGGCAGGCAACGAAACCCGAUCGCUACGCCUCUCCCGUCCCGCCUCAAGCCCAUCCUCUUACGCAGCCGUUUGUGCGCGUGCGCGAGCGCGAGCGUUUGUGCGUCUUCCUCAGAAGUACAUGUCCUGGAAGAGGUUCUGCCCCAUCUCGAUGUAGGCCUCCUUCUCCUGCGCGCUCAUCUGCUCCACCAGCUGGGGCCGCUGGCUGACCUCCCGGUAGGAGAACGACUUCCCCGCCCACCAUCACCGUGGGCUCGUCGCCCACCUCCUCGAACUCGUCGUCGUCGUCGUCGUCCAUCUCCUGGUGCUGCCUCUUGGACGCCCCCCCGCCGCCGCCGCCGCCGCCACCGCCGGCACGUCGAGCCGCCGCCGCCGCCGCCGCCACGAGGGGAGGGGCCGCGGGCUUGUCGUCGUCCGACUCGCUGGUGUCACUGUCCGAGUCGCUGCCGCCGGCGGUGGCCAGGGUGCGGGCGGCGGCCGCGGCGCUCGCCCCGCUGGUCGCUCCGCCUCCGCCGGCGCCGGCCGCGCCCCGCUUCUCGUGGAUGAGGAGGGCGCGCAUCACUUCCUCGUUCUCGUCCGAUUGGUCCAAUCCGUGGGCCCCCGGCGCCGUCCUGGCUGCCUGCGAUUUCUCCGGCUGUAGGAGGAAAGGUUUAUCGGUUAUGUAGAAAUGCAUGGCGAGCAUAAUGGUUUCACUUAGCGUGGGACCACGAUGCACCUGGGCACCAUCAACCUGCCCCUUUGGUAGCUUCUAACUACUGUCGAACUGAUAAGAGCUUAACAUUAACAUUUAGACUACAUUGUUGUUAUAAUGGCCAAUAACACACACACACACACACGCAUGUUUCAAUGUGACUUUGUGUUGGUGGGGGCAAUACAAGUUUCUUGAAACUUUUUAAUUAGUGUGUGUGUGCAGUUUUCCAAGUUAAUUUAAGACUUCUUAAUGCCAUCUGGG